rnacentral:rRNA from 1 species
GAGGAACGGCGACGGAAGAGAAAUCGAUC